rnacentral:rRNA from 1 species
GUUAUAAGACGAGUCGGGAAAGUUUUUUCGCUAAGAGAUCAGUCUAUGUCCUAUCAGCUAGUUGGUGAGGUAAUGGCUCACCAAGGCUAUGACGGGUAUCUGGUUUGAGAGGAUGAUCAGACACACUGGAACUGAGACACGGUCCAGACUCCUACGGGAGGCAGCAGUGAGGAAUAUUGCACAAUGGAGGAAACUCUGAUGCAGCAACGCCGCGUGGAGGAUGACGCAUUUCGGUGCGUAAACUCCUUUUAAGAGGGAAGAUAAUGACGGUACCUCUUGAAUAAGCACCGGCUAACUCCGUGCCAGCAGCCGCGGUAAUACGGAGGGUGCAAGCGUUACCCGGAAUCACUGGGCGUAAAGGGUGCGUAGGCUGGCUUCUAAGUCAGAUGUGAAAUCCAAUGGCUUAACCAUUGAACUGCAUUUGAAACUGGGAGCCUAGAGUUCAGAAGGGGCAGAUGGAAUUAGUGGUGUAGGGGUAAAAUCCGUAGAUAUCACUAGGAAUAUCAAAAGCGA